UCGCAGCACACAAAUCAAACCUAGCAUUUCCCACAGCGCCACCACCGACGAGCUUCUUCUUCUCCUUUCCUCACCCACAGCGCCACCGCCGGCCACUCUAACCGCCGCAGCUACUUUCUCCUUCUUCUCCUCUUCUUUAAGCACGGAACCAGUAGAAUACAGCCCCUGUGUCUCUCGUUCGUAGAACAAAGCAAGCUCAAGCUCCACCACCGCCGUGCCUCUCUCUCCUUUUAUUCCCUUCAGUUCUGGCUCGCAUACCUUCGCGCAAGCCCUAGCUCCGUGGCGACUAAAAUCGGUUCCGCCGUCAGCCGCGGUUCCACCUUUCUCUUGCCCCCUGUUCGAACCGAUAUGGUGCGUGAACUAGGGUUUUGGUUUUGUGGCAGUGGUUGUUCAUCGGAGAGCCACUGGCGAUGCUCCUAUUCUCAAGCAUUCUAAAUUCAAGUAUUAGUUUGGGAGGGAACUUGACAAUGGUGGAUCUUCCUGGUAUAACUAGGGUUCCUGUUCAUGGCCAGCCUGAAAAUAUCUAUGAUCAGAUCAAGGAUAUUAUCAUGGAGUAUAUUAGGCCUGAAGAGAGCAUUAUUCUGAAUGUUCUUUCUGCUACCGUUGAUUUUACUACUUGUGAAUCCAUAAGAAUGUCUCAGUCUGUGGAUAAAACUGGUUUGAGAACCUUGGCUGUUGUAACAAAGGCUGAUAAGUCUCCUGAAGGCUUGUUGGAAAAGAGGCUAGUUCAAGUUCAAGGCAUGAUCAUAUCCAAAACUCUGCCCGAAAUUGUGAAGAAAAUCAAUGAGAAGCUGACUUACAAGCUGACUUAAUUUCACCAAGAUGCUCAACCAGAAGUUCUCCCUCAAUCACGGCGUUUCGAUGGGGUCUACUGAGAUCCCUUCUCAGUCAACGGAGACUAUUAAGAUUCCUACCGCUAUCUAUGAGUUUGGUGCAACCUUCAUUGAUCAUCCCAAGGUGCUUUUCCCCCCUCUGAUUUUGCUUAGUUUCGUUUCAUUGUUGUAAGUUCCAACACUCAUUGACGAUGAUAUUAUUGUGCUUGGUGUUGGGGAGAAUAUUGACUAAUGGAAGGCUCAAUGCAAGAGUCAAGUGCGACGUCUCUGAAAAUCUCACUCUUAAAGCCAAUGCUCAGAGGAGUCUCAAUGCACAACAUAAACAGACGUCUUAACAUGAUGAACAAAAACAGAGAGAUAUCCCUUUGUGGACUGAAAAUGAGGGCUGUUCAGCUUUCAACAGAUCACAGCACAAGUAUUGAAGAGG